GGGAAGGUGGCUCAGUGUUAGAGCGCUUGCCUUGUAUGCAUGAGGCCCUGGGU
rnacentral:tRNA from 1 species